AGUGAACGCUGGCGGUAGGCCUAACACAUGCAAGUCGAACGGCAGCACAGUAAGAGCUUGCUCUUACGGGUGGCGAGUGGCGGACGGGUGAGGAAUACAUCGGAAUCUACUUUUUCGUGGGGGAUAACGUAGGGAAACUUCCGCUAAUACCGCAUACGACCUACGGGUGAAAGCAGGGGAUCUUCGGACCUUGCGCGUUUGUAUGAGCCGAUGUCGGAUUAGCUAGUUGGCGGGGUAAAGGCCCACCAAGGCGACGAUCCGUAGCUGGUCUGAGAGGAUGAUCAGCCACACUGGAACUGAGACACGGUCCAGACUCCUACGGGAGGCAGCAGUGGGGAAUAUUGGACAAUGGGCGCAAGCCUGAUCCAGCCAUACCGCGUGAGUGAAGAAGGCCUUCGGGUUGUAAAGCCCUUUUGUUGGGAAAGAAAAGCAGCAGGUUAAUACCCCGCUGUUCUGACGGUACCCAAAGAAUAAGCACCGGCUAACUUCGUG
rnacentral:rRNA from 1 species